rnacentral:siRNA from 1 species
AUGGUUUAUCAGAGUGCAUUCGCA